AGAAUCAACGCUGGCGGCGUGCCUAACACAUGCAAGUCGAACGCGAAAGGGGCUUCGGCCCUGAGUAGAGUGGCGAACGGGUGAGUAACGCGUGGGUGAUCUACCUUUGAGUGGGGGAUAACGUUCCGAAAGGGACGCUAAUACCGCAUGACGUUCUGGGUUUAAAGACCUGGAAACCAAAGCCGGGGACCGCAAGGCCUGGCGCUUGAAGAGGAGCCCGCGUCCGAUUAGCUAGUUGGCGGGGUAAUGGCCCACCAAGGCGACGAUCGGUA
rnacentral:rRNA from 1 species